rnacentral:rRNA from 1 species
GAUCCUGGCUCAGGAUGAACGCUAGCUACAGGCUUAACACAUGCAAGUCGAGGGGAAACGAUAUUGGAAGCUUGCUUCCGAUAGGCGUCGACCGGCGCACGGGUGAGUAACGCGUAUCCAACCUGCCCACCACUUGGGGAUAACCUUGCGAAAGUAAGACUAAUACCCAAUGACGUCUCUAGAAGACAUCUGAAAGAGAUUAAAGAUUUAUCGGUGAUGGAUGGGGAUGCGUCUGAUUAGCUUGUUGGCGGGGUAACGGCCCACCAAGGCAACGAUCAGUAGGGGUUCUGAGAGGAAGGUCCCCCACAUUGGAACUGAGACACGGUCCAAACUCCUACGGGAGGCAGCAGUGAGGAAUAUUGGUCAAUGGACGAGAGUCUGAACCAGCCAAGUAGCGUGCAGGAUGACGGCCCUAUGGGUUGUAAACUGCUUUUAUAAGGGAAUAAAGUGAGUCUCGUGAGACUUUUUGCAUGUACCUUAUGAAUAAGGACCGGCUAAUUCCGUG